GGUGAACGCUGGCGGCGUGCUUAAGACAUGCAAGUCGAACGGCAGUCUUCGGACUGUAGUGGCGCACGGGUGAGUAACGCGUAACUGACCUACCCCAAAGUCGCGGAUAACGAUUCGAAAGAAUCGCUAAUACGUGAUGUGCUGUCAGAUUGUGUUCUGCCAGUAAAGAUUGAUUGCUUUGGGAUGGGGUUGCGUUCCAUCAGCUAGUUGGUGGGGUAAAGGCCCACCAAGGCGACGACGGUUAGCCGGCCUGAGAGGGUGGCCGGCCACAGGGGAACUGAGACACGGGUCCCACUCCUACGGGAGGCAGCAGUUAGGAAUCUUCCACAAUGGGCGAAAGCCUGAUGGGGCGACGCCGCGUGAGGGAUGAAGGUCUUCGGAUCGUAAACCUCUGAAUCAGGGACGAAAGACACUUCGGUGGGAUGACGGUACCUGAGUAAUAGCACCGGCUAACUCCGUGCCAGCCGCCGCCGUAAAAC
rnacentral:rRNA from 1 species